CAGAAGGCGGCAGUAGCUG
rnacentral:misc_RNA from 1 species